UAUUUAUACAUAGCCUCUAUUACAUUGUUUCUGACUAACUUCUUCUUAACUAACUAACUAACUAAGUGGUUAGUUAGCUAGUUGGUUACAUACAAUCAACUAACUUGAAUUACACCAAACUGGAUACGAAGAUCGUUCUUCGUUUACCAAUUACAAACCAGGAUUGAUCUUGGUUUCCAACAAUACACAAAAACUGGAUACGAAGAUUGUUCUUCGUUUUCCAGUCACAAACCAAGAUUGAUAUUGGUUUCCAACAGAAAGUGUGUUACGACACUAAAAAAAAUGACAAGCGUAAUGAUCUUGUUUCGUCUUCAUUGACCAGCAUAAUUAACGUUGAUCAUUCUAUUUUAACUAAGACAAAAUUACCACCUUCGUCACAAAUACAAAUACCAAUUCCCAUCCAUUUUGUGUGAUGGAAAGAACGACACAUAAACAUUACACAUAAAACGCCCAAUAGUUGGCCUUUGUCACUAACUGAUAUGAGCAGGUCGUGUUCUUGCAUGUUGAGUUCUUAAUUGCCAAAUUUCACUCCUUUAUAUAUGUAGUACCCCUGCACAAACACCUUCCCUUUUUAUUAUUCCAAAUAGCAUUAUUUAUUUGUUGCCAAAUAUUCCAUAAAAUCAGAAUGGUGCAUUUUGCUGCCAACAAUUAACACCAUUUUGACACUUGAAAAAGAGGUGUAAGCUACUCUUAAUUAUCUCCGUGGUCACACAAUUGGCACUGAUGUUUGCAGUCGGCUGGCAUUGGAAUUAUUUCAACAGAUACGCCACACAAGAUUUUGGACCUUUGGAGGGCUUUUUAAUUUCCAAUCAUUGUCAAUGAGAUCUGCUUAGCAAUGUCCGCCAAUAAUACAUUUUCAUUGUACAAAGGAUUAGGAAAGACAGAAACAUCAUCAACCACAAGUGCACUUCCAUUUUGAGCUUAUUUACAUAAAUCUUCCAUGUUGAUUCAAAGUACUGCAAGCUCAUUCUCACUGCACAUGAGGUGAUUAGUAGUAUAUACUAUUAUUUAUUCGUUUCAAUAUAACAGUAUAUAGUUCCAUUUUGUACAUAAAAAUCAUGUCCACUAUAGUUCCAAAAUUUUGUUCUUUUCUUUAUUUUCUGUUUGGGUUUGGAAAGGAUUCAAAUAAUGCUUGCCUUUUGGAAAACAGUGUGAGGAAAAAAACAACAAACUAAACCAAAACAAGCAAGGAAAAAGAAAGUGUAUGA